UUUAGAGCUUCAAAUUUGUGAAAUUUUGCAGCAUGUCUGUGUCACGGAGCGACAUUGGAGAGAGGGAAGAUGGUGAGAAUCACAGUUUGAAAAAGUUUGAUAAGGACAAAAAUCCGUGGAAUUGGCAUUGA